GGGCCAGCGGCCGCCCCUCCGUUCCCCGCGGCCGCCCCUCGAGGCUCUCCCGCUCCUCCGCCUCCCCUCGGGCCGGCCCCGGAACGGCGCUCGCCGCCCGCGUUUCCCGGCGGGGGCCCUUCGCCGCCGCACCCGCCCCGGAAAGGCGCCGCGGCCUCAGCCGGGCGGGUGCUGGUGGCGGUCGGGGCCUCUGGGCCGAGCCGCAGCCAUGGGGAAGCGGCAGCACCAGAAGGACAAGAUGUACAUCACCUGCGCCGAGUACACGCAGUUCUACGGCGGCAAGAAGGCAGACCAUCCACGAACUAAUUUCAGACGUAUAUCAUUUGAUCACUGCAGGUAAAGCAAUAAAUUACAUUAUCAUUAUGAAAUGACCCGUCUAUUCAGCUGAGCUCUUGCUGAAGCUGUGUUCUUCCCAGGUACUUUCAUUGAU